rnacentral:rRNA from 1 species
CCUACGGGAGGCAGCAGUGAGGAAUAUUGGUCAAUGGACGAGAGUCUGAACCAGCCAAGUAGCGUGAAGGAUGACUGCCCUAUGGGUUGUAAACUUCUUUUAUAUGGGAAUAAAAUGUUCCACGUGUGGGAUUUUGUAUGUACCAUAUGAAUAAGGAUCGGCUAACUCCGUGCCAGCAGCCGAGGUAAUACGGAGGAUCCGAGCGUUAUGCGGAUUUAUUGGGUUUAAAGGGAGCGUAGGUGGAUUGUUAAGUCAGUUGUGAAAGUUUGGGGCUCAACCGUAAAAUUGCAGUUGAAACUGGCAGUCUUGAGUACAGUAGAGGUGAGCGGAAUUCGUGGUGUAGCGGUGAAAUGCUUAGAUAUCACGAAGAACUCCGAUUGCGAAGGCAGUUCACUGGACUGCAACUGACACUGAGGCUCGAAAGUGUGGGUAUCAAACAGGAUUAGAUACCCCGGUAGUC